CAGAAAAUAGUGAAAAGAUGUCUGCUUGUUGGUUUCUUUUGAUUUCUCUACUCAUUUUCUCUACAUGUUUUGCAAUCCUUGAAAAAUCAUGUUUAUUGGAGCAUCUUAUUGCAUAUCUGUUUUUGCUCUUCUCUGUUCGCUUCCUAUUUCUUGGAAGCAUUUGCUAUUCUCUAUCUUUGAGAUUAUGAAUACUGCCGAAUCCAUAUGCUGGAAAACAAUUUCUUAAUUGUACCCUUUUGUAUAUUCAGGCAAUUGAUCACAUAAUUAAUUCAGCUGCCAAAUCGAACUACAUGUCUGCUGGGCAGAUAUAUGUUCAUAUUGUCUUCACGGAUCCAAAUGGUGCUGUUGUUGGAGUUGGUGCCCAACACUCACAGAGUAAAGGAAUACUCGGAGCAGACCCAAGAAGGCGACGACCAACAUGUUUUCAAGUUCUCAAGCCUUCUUGAUGAUGAGCAAGGACUGAUUGCAGCAAGACUUGAAGAUUUAGGGAAGAAAGAGGAAAGACUUCAAGAACUGCCACUUCUACAUGAUAUAUCUGAACUAAUAGAAGCCUAUAGCUAUAGGAAAGUUGGCCUGAAUCUUGUAAAGCUUCAAAAGUACAUCGAUGAACGUUUGGGUUAUAAAUUUAUAGAUUAAUAUUAGCAGCAAAUCAAACCAGCCCUACUGAAUUUAUGGAGAAUAUGGUCUGGAAGUUUGAGAGGGAGGCGUGGACGGUUAUGCAGAGUAGACAACACAAUGUGCAAUGGGAGUUCUUUCUUGUAAGCUACCAUUUGGGUUUCAGUGAUUUCUUUUCCUCAACUUUUUUCAACUGGAUGUUAAAAAUGUCAUCUUGAAUAAUUUGUCAGCUCACACUGGAUUGCAUUGCUUGAUGGUUGAUUUUGUAAAAAAAAGAAUUUUGGACGUACUUUUCAUCUUUUGGAAAGAAAUAGAACAUCAGGAAUGUAUAAUCCAAACAAACA